AGUGAACGCUGGCGGUAGGCCUAACACAUGCAAGUCGAACGGCAGCACGGUAAGAGCUUGCUCUUACGGGUGGCGAGUGGCGGACGGGUGAGGAAUACAUCUGAAUCUACUUUUUCGUGGGGGAUAACGUAGGGAAACUUACGCUAAUACCGCAUACGACCUACGGGUGAAAGCAGGGGAUCUUCGGACCUUGCGCGAUUGAAUGAGCCGAUGUCGGAUUAGCUAGUUGGCGGGGUAAAGGCCCACCAAGGCGACGAUCCGUAGCUGGUCUGAGAGGAUGAUCAGCCACACUGGAACUGAGACACGGUCCAGACUCCUACGGGAGGCAGCAGUGGGGAAUAUUGGACAAUGGGCGCAAGCCUGAUCCAGCCAUACCGCGUGGGUGAAGAAGGCCUUCGGGUUGUAAAGCCCUUUUGUUGGGAAAGAAAAGCAGCAGGUUAAUACCCCGCUGUUCUGACGGUACCCAAAGAAUAAGCACCGGCUAACUUCGUG
rnacentral:rRNA from 1 species